UUACGGUCAUAUCACGUCAAAACACCAGUUCUCGUACGAUCACCGAAGCUAAGCAACAUGGAACUUGGUCAUAACCUAUAUGGGUGACCGCUUGGGAGUACCAAGUGCUAUA